rnacentral:rRNA from 1 species
GACGAACGCUGGCGGCGUGCUUAACACAUGCAAGUCGAACGGAAAGGCCCUGCGUUUGUGGGGUGCUCGAGUGGCGAACGGGUGAGUAACACGUGAGUAACCUGCCCUUGACUUUGGGAUAACUUCAGGAAACGGGGGCUAAUACCGGAUAGGAGCUCCUGCUGCAUGGUGGGGGGUGGAAAGUUUCGGCGGUUGGGGAUGGACUCGCGGCUUAUCAGCUUGUUGGUGGGGUAGUGGCUUACCAAGGCUGUGACGGGUAGCCGGCCGGAGAGGGUGACCGGCCACAUUGGGCCUGAGGUACGGCCCAGUCUCCUACGGUAGGCAGCAGUCGGAAAUCUUGCACAAUGGGCGGAGGCCUGAUGCAGCAACGCCGCGUGCGGGAUGACGGCCUUCGGGUUGUAAACCGCUUUCGCCUGUGACGAAGCGUGAGUGACGGUAAUGGGUAAAGAAGCACCGGCUAACUACGUG